GUUUGGUUGCUGCGAACUAUCAAAUAGUCUAAAGCCAUAAUUAAAGCAGUUACUGCUGUUUCUUGUUAGUGGCACAAGGAGUAUAAUUUUGCAUCAAAUUUGUUUAAAUAUGUGUGAUUUGGCCUGUCCCAUACGUAGCGUGUCGCACCAUUGAGAAAUAAAAGCAUGAAUUCUCCUGUACCCUGUUUGUAGUAUUUCUUGUGAGAAUGUUGUUUCUGUUUCGUACAUGAACUGUUGGGUCUUUGAAUCUUUGCGCUC
rnacentral:lncRNA from 1 species